CCUUCGAUAGCUCAGCUGGAAGAGCGCAAGACUGCACCGGCUGCCUUGUCAAUUAUCUUGGGGUCCCUGGUUCGAUCUCGUGUCGAAGGA